UGCGGGCCUCGGCCUCCCUAGAUUCCUUCCCAUCUCCCCAACAGCAAUCCUCCCAGGGCCAUGGGCCAGGAACCCCUGGUGGUUCUGUAUUCUGAGGUUCUGCAGACGCAGGGUGUAGUCUCCUGCGAGUCCAUCUUGAUUUGGAAGGCUGCGGGAGGAGGUGGCCGAGACCCCUUCCCUAGACCGCGAGGCAGGACGGAGGCAGCCGUUAGGAACGGCCCCACUCCACCAGCCGGGCCCGCGGGACGGUUACUCUGUUCCUGAGGUACCCCCCGCGAUUGUCUGUGGGGUCAGAAACAGCUCUGGAGGGGCCUGCAGAAAUUACUUUCCCAAGUCUUUGGGCUGGAAGGAACGAACAGUGCCUGACCAAGGACUUUGAGCAGGAGAGAGAUGGGAGCAGAGAGGAGCCAAGGUCUACUAUUUUCACUUCUGUCAAUUAGAUCAAAGCCCUGCCCAGAAGCUUUGAGCGCCGCUGUCAAGUCCCAUUCCUCCCCUAAACCAUCCAGGUUCCAUCUGCCUUGAAGCCAAAGGAUCUUCUUAGAUUCCUCAAGAAAAAUUCAGGCCCCGAGUUUCUCCACCAGCACUCUCCUCUCCCCGAAGGAGUGGGUGGGCUGCAUUUCUCUUCAUAUUCUAUUCCAUUCCAGACCGUCUUGGACUACCAGCCUGUCCGCCACCCCUCGGGGCCCUCCCUCCUACUGUGCCCUUGCCCGCUGAGGUCCCAAGCUGAGGAGAUGAGCAGAGCAGUAAAAAGAGAGGAGGUUUGGAAAAGCAAUGUCCUCUCAGUCUUUAACAGGUGGCCCCCCUAGGAACCUGCUGGAAGUGGAAGUUAAUAAGCUGAAGGUGGUCACAACUAAUCUCUGCCACACUCGCACCCUCCCCCACCCCAAAUCAUUCCUUUUAAUUAAUAGUGGAAGACCUUUUUAAAAAUGUAACAUGAAUUGGCUAUUUCUUGAGGCAAACAAAAGGUGGCUCUGAAGCGAUAUAUUUGUACUUAUAUAAAUUCAUUAAAAUAGAAAGCUUAUAACCAUCCAGGUUUCACUGACAGCCCAGUCCAUCUACAUGCAGAAAUGGUCCCUCCAAAGCCCUCUAUGACAAUUAUUCUCACAGAUCUUCAUGAUAAACUGUAAGGGAAUAUACUAAGAAAGAGGGAAGAAGAGAGGAGGAGUCCAUUUUCAAUUAGUGGUUGGAAAUAGAGCAAAAAUUAGAGGGCCUUAGGUUUAAAACACAGAUGUGCAUUGUGAUCGUCUGAAGGAAGAGCUGUUGACAGAGAAAACAAGGUGGUGAACUAUGCCCUUGGCCUGUGACAGUUAGGUGAGGGUUGCUCACCGCAGAAGACAGACCGGUAGAGCCCAGCAGGAAAGAGGGUAUCAGGCUGGAAGAAGUGCAGUUUGGCCCUGGCGGAGUGGUGGAGUGGCUGGAGCGACUGCAGGAGGAGGAUAGAUCUGGAAGCAGGUCUGGGCUAUACUUUGGCCUCAGCCAGGGAGCCAGAGAAGGAAGGCUUGGGUUCGAGGGGGGAAAUCAUUCUCCCAAAUUGCUUUCUCAGAAGCGCCAAUUCAGAUCACCUGAAGACAGGAUCUGGGCCCCAUUACAGCCUGGUUCCCAAAUGGGGGUGUGCUUGGAAGCCUUGGUGAUUAAAGGGUGCUGACUAAAAGAGUCAAACUCUGUAAAAUAUUUGAAGAGAUUUAUUCUGAGCCAAAUAUAAGUGACCAUGGCCCAUGACACAGCCCUCAGGAGACCCUGAGAACAUGUGUUCAAGGUGGUCGGGGUACAGCUUGGUUUUAUAUGUUUUAGGAAGGCAUGAGACUCAAUCAAAGACAUUUAAAAAAUACAUUGGUUUGGUUCAGAAAGGUGAGACAACUCAAAGUGGGGGCUUCCAGGCUAUAGGUAAAUUUAAACAUUUUCUGAUUGACAAUUGGUUGGGUUUAUCUGGAGACCUGGGAUUAAUGGAAAGGAAGGUUCAUGUUAAGAUACAGAACUGUGGAAACCAAGUUUUAUUGUGCAGAGGAAUCUCUCAGAUAGCAGACUUCAGAGAGAGAGAGAGCAGGUUGUAAAAUGUUUCUUAUCGGACCUAAAAGGGUACCUGGCUCUUAGUUGAUUAUCUCCUGGAUCUGGGAAGGAAGGAAGGAAAACAAAGGGGAAAGGAAAUAUUUCCUAUAGAAUAUGGAUUUUUCCCACAAGAGACUUUGCAGGACAAUUUCGAGAUAUGGCAAGGAGAUUUAUUUUGGGGUAAAACAUUUUGAUUUUCUUCCUUGUUAUGCCACAGUCAGAUUGGAAAGUCAGUCAUGAUAUACAGGGUCAGAUAAAACCUGUCUGAUGAGAAUGUAUGGUUGGUAGGGCAUGACUCCCCAGACCCCUUAGAUAGGAAUCUGGGCAAGAUAAAAAAUCGGAGCUUAGUCCUCAAGGGAAGGGGCAGCAGCGCUGUUGGAGGGCUCACCAAGCAUCAGUACUGGAUCACCAGGCUUGGGAGAGUAGGGGUGUCAAGGCCCCAAGAGCAGGGAGGGCCUUGGCCCCACCAGGAGGGCAUCAGAAAGCAGGGAGCACUUGUAGUUCACCAUGAUUCCCCUCAAAGCCCUGGGCCAGCCUCCUGCAGGGAAGGCGGGCAGGAAGUCUUCCCCAUAGGGGCAGGCUUGCUUUUUUGGCCAGCCAUCCUCUUCAUAUGAAAAACAGCAUCUUGUCAUUUCUAGAUGUUUCUACUUUGGUUGACUCUUUAAUUUUUCUGCAGUUAAAAGCCUUAAAACAGCAAGGAAGCAGGGGACAGGAGGGGAGCCCAGAUCUCUCCCAAAGAAAAGGAGAAAGACUGAAUCCUUGAGGCCUGCCGUACAAAGGAGUGGUGGGUUGGAGGAGGGUAGGCAGAGACUAGGGUGGUCUGGGACUUUAAGUACAAGGCCCCGUGGAUUUCGUGGGGGGCAAGCCAUGUGCAACAGGGAAGCUCAGGAACCAGGGGGUUUCGCACAGAGGUCUGGUGCUGUGAGGUACAGGGAAAGAAUUAGUGGAUCUGCACCAGUGGAACAUUGGUUUAGUUUAAUCUCUGAUUUGUGUUGAGUGAAUUUGAGUAUAGUCCAACCACCACCCCCCUACCCCAACUAAACCAUGUGCCCCUCAGGAGCUGGGACUCUUUUAUUUUCUAUUCCUUAUAGCAGGCUCAGUGCCUGACACACUACGUUGAAUUUUAUUUUAAACAUUUCAUUUACAUUAAAUGGUAUAUUUGCAAGUU